UAGAUGUUUUAUUUCUUCAAUAUAAAAUAUUGGUAAAUUGGAUAAAUAUUUUUCUUAUUUUAUUGGGUCAAGAUUUAAUUUAAAUUAUUCAUUUAAAUUAUUCCUACUACAGUUAAAUCUUACCUACAUUUCUUAUCCACCAAUAUCAACAAACUUAAAAAAAUCGGGGCAUUUCUGUUUAUUGAACAGAGAAUUUGUGUUUAUUUUGUUUUAAUCACUGCCUUCUUUUAUAUUGCAAUAGUAUUUUGCUUUCAAUCUAUGUGAUUUAUGAAUACUGAUACUGUUUAUAUGCUAUGUAUUGAGAUUAAAGAAAGUAUGUUAUUCAACCAUACUACAAAAUGUAUUUUGUAUUUGUAUUUCAGUAGCUUGUGUUUAGACAGGUUUGUUGCCAAUAUUUAUUAAUAAAGUAGUCUGAAAAAUGUGUCAUAUAGCUUUGGUGCCACAUUCAUAAAUCUAUACAUGUACUUGUUUUAAUUACAUUUUGUAUUAAAUAUAUAUUUUAUCAAUGCAAUGUAUUGGUUUUAUGCAUGUAUGUAAAACAAAAGCUGCCAUUAUUUUAUCAUAUUUUGUGUUUUACAGUUCUGCCUACUCCUGUUUCUUAUUCAAAACACCUUACAUUUUAGCUAAAAUAUACUUGACAUUGACUUUUUAAAAAGUAACUCAAGAAGUAUAACAGGGUAUUUGUGCUUUUGAUAAUUAGCAGUACUUCAUAUGGGUAGUUUUUAUGCCCCCGAAGGAGGGUAUAUAGUGAUCGGACUGCCCGUCCGUCUGUCAGUCACACUUUUGCGUUUAGGUUUCGAAAAAUGCUCAUAACUUUUAUGUCGCUUCAGAUGUAACCUUCAUAUUUGGUAUGCAUGUGUAUAUUGACAAGGCCUUUCCAUAAGCACACAAAUUUUGACCCCUUUGACCUUGAACUUAGGGUCCGCAUUUAGGUGUCAAAAUCUGCGUUUAGGUUUCGAAAUCUGCGUUUAGGUUUCGAAGAAGCGUUUUCGGGGGCAUAUAUCUUCAGAUAGAGAAAGCUCUUGUUUGUUUUAAUUUGUAUUUUAGAUUCUAACUUGUAUCUUUUCUUGUUGUCUUUCUCUAUAUUGAUAUGUAAUUGUUGAACAUGUUUGUAAUGAUGUCUUUUCUUUAAUGUUAAUUCUAAUGCUUCUGAACUCUGGAUUUCACAAACACACACAGAGUAUUUGUUCUCUUGUCAAAUUGUUGGAACCUGUCUUUGAAUGAAAAGAUUGAAUCACUGUAGUUUUUUUGUUGCAAUAUAAGUUUUCCAUCAUCACUUGCCAUUUUCUUAAAAUAAUGUCUUAUUUGUAAGAUUCCCUUGCUGGUGUAUACUUGUACAAAUAAAUAAUGAAUAAACACAACACAUUGUAAGUGCAUACAUAGAGAAUAAUAGAUUAGUGUUGAUUAUAGAUCAGGUUUAUCAUGCUCGGCACGAAAACGAAAAAGCACUCGCCAAGUCUCGUGCUUUUUGUUUUCUAAGCCUCGCAUGAUAAACCUGAUCUAUAAUCAACACUAACCUAUUUAUCCCAUUUUUAAUUUUGUAAACCUUUUUGUUUAAACAAAAUUAGUUUGACUGGAUAAUUUCAAUGGAUUUAUGACGUCAUUUAGUCGAAAUAUUGACGUCAUUCUGCCGUUGAUUAUAGAUGAUAUUUAAUCAAUGGGGCUUUAAUCAACCGAAUUCGCUGUAAAAGUGGGAUAAAAUAGGUUUUAUUAAUUUUUUACUCAAGUGCAAUUUACUUUAAAAAACCAACAACAAAGUUUUACAUUCCAAAUGGUCGAAAUGCCUCAUGCUUUUGACUGCCUAAACAUGCUUGUCUAGAAACUCAUCUUAUUUGUAUUAAACUGUGAACAUAGAUAAUGGAUUUUAGGUCCAAUCUAAUCCAAAUAAUUUGUAUUUGUAUUGCUUGUACUUACUUUAUGCACAGUGGCGUAUCAUAUAAGUUUCAUUGUACCUGGUUUAUCAUUUUUAAAACAAUGUGUGUUUGUUAUGCAUACGGUAUAUGUAUUGUUUUUCCAUUUCUUUUUAUAGGCCAGUAACAAAAGCUAUAUUUGUUCCCACCGUCAUCCAUAUUGUUGAUUGCAUUUAGUGAGUGCCUCUGUGAACUUCCAUACAAAGGAAACCAGAUUUUAUCUUUUAAGCCUAUUUCAGGAAACAAACUGGGCUCAGAUAUGUAAACAUGUGUGUUAAGUGUCCUCUAGAUUUGCCUGUGCAAUCCGCACAGGCUUAUUAGAGAAGUCUUUUUAAAGAAAAUCCAUUCAAGGCGGAAAGUGUCGCUGCAGAUAGGCCUAUGGGGAAAGCACUGGCAAAUUUGAGAUGACACUUGGCGCAGGUGUUUUUAUCUAGCACCAAUACUCCUUACUUCCUUACUUGGAUACUAAGACUGGUGUUGCUUUUGAUCAUUUCUGAUCCAGUCACAUCACCUUUGACCUACUUUGGAGUUCAAAUGGACCAUUAAUGGCUUGAUUGGAUCCUUAAAUUUGUCAUCAACAAUGAGGAAUGUAAAACGCUAUUACUUAGAUUCUGGUUGUGUAUUAUUUCAUUAUUACUGUUAUCCCAUUUUGCAGUUGGAAUGAUUAAAAUGAGUUUGUUCAGUACAAAAAAGAUAAGGGGCAGGGGAAUUACAAGGAGUUUGCUCAUUAAUGUUGAUAGUAAAAAAAUUCCUUCAUAAAACUUUGGUAUGAAAAUAAAAUGUAAAUAUUAAUGUUCUUUGUAAUGUUUUAUGCUAUUUACUUAUAGUCAUGUAUUUAUAUGUUUACAAUAGUAAGUAUAACACGUAUAUCUAAUUAAGCAUUAUUAAUUAUCAAUACUUGUAAUAGUUAGUAUUAUAGUAGUUUAUAUUUGUUUGUAUAAUUAUUAGUAAGACCUUAUUGUCACUUUGUCAGAAAUGCACAAUGUGCUUGUCAACCAUAUAUUUUACAAGUUAAAGAAAACUUUUACAAAUAAAUUAUUUUCAUCCAUGUUCAUUCAUAAUUCAAAAUUAAUUUUUACUGUUUUUUUUAGACUUAUUCAAAUUAUUAUUAUUCAUGCAGUUGUAGAAUAUGUGGUUGACAUGCAUAACUAUAACAGUCAAACAUUAUCUAAGACAUAAUGAUCAAUAUAGGUUAUCAACACUUAUCACAUUGCAAACACUUUGAAUGCAUAGGUUUACAUACUUUUUGAGUUUCAGGUAAAGGGUAAGAUAAUACUGAAGUUGUUUCUGAACGAAGCACCUAAAUAUUGUUUUGCAUUUAGCAAUUGAUUUGUAGCAAUGCCAUAAGUUGAACCACUCAGUGAACACAGUAAUACCUUUUGGCCAUUUUGUGGCUCGAAAAAUUCAAAAACAUUGCCAUGUUUCAUGAUGAACUGCUCUUGAAUUGUUUAGCCCUGUUUAUUGUGAAAUCCAUUUUCUGUAGUUCACACUUUCGGUGCACGAUUGUGACUCAUUUUAAAUAAAACUAUUAUAGUCUCUUUGAAAAGGUUUAUCUAAUGUACCGAUUUUCAUAUGAAAACUCUUAAAUUACUUUAUAAUGAUGAUUUUAACAUCAAAUUAUAAAAACACCAGACCAUAUGACUACACAUGUUUCAGACUUUCUUAUUCUUAAACUUACCUGUCAGGCAAAGACAAUUUCUGGUCUAUAGAAAACGUUGAAUUGUAUUGCCUAAUAUGGACGUUCAAGAAUACGAAAUAUUUUAUGUUGCUUGUAGUCAUCACUGUGCACGUGAUAACUGUUCUGUACAUUUUGAAGUGUGUAGGUUUCUCACAAGUUUGAUUUUUCAUAUUAGUGUGUUCAAAACUUAAAAGAAACCCAUUUUCACGCGGCUCUCUACUCAAAUGGUAUCAUAAUUUCCAGCACUUUUUAUGAAAGCAGCACAAAAUGAAACAUUUUUACUAUAAAGGACAUGUGUCCGUUUGCUUUGUGUGCAGGUAGAAGUUAUGUCAUUUAUUUUCAUCUUCGACGAAACCGUUUCUGGUGAUUUGUGGUAACUUCGAUAUUCAUGUCCUCAUUACGGUAAACAUGUUCUCAUUACGUGGACAUUACGUGUCUUGUAUAGUAAGAAAUCACUGUAAACACACUGAUCAACGAUUUGCAUUUUCAUCCCAGUUGUUUACUUGUUGCGCCUUGUUUACGGUUUCAACACCAGACCAUUAUACCUAUUAAACUGUAAAUGCAAA